rnacentral:rRNA from 1 species
UGUUCCGAAAAUGGAUGGUCGCAGUCGGGCCGGCCGGAGAUGCUCUCUGCUGUUGAGUCAGCAGAGGUAGGAGGGCGACUGCGUUGCGCAGAAGUGUGACCGGUGAUGGUUCAUGGAGCGACGCAGUGUGCAGAUCUCGGUGUUAGUAGCUGGAUUUCGAGUUAGGAGCUCGAGUGCCGAUGAGGGUUAGGUUUUCGCACCACCCGUCGUGGGGUGCAAGUUAGCCGGUCCUAAUCCGUCGCAAUGGCAUGCGGCGGAGACAGGGAAUUAGGUGUUGAUUCCUAAGCGGCGCGCGUCGACUGCAAAAUCGAGGCGCACUCUUGGGUUCGGCGCCUCGGAGCAGGGUUUUCAGUCCUGUCUAAAGUUCCGGGUCCGUGGGAGCGUUGUGCUGUGAAAGCGGAGUCGGGCUGAAAGGUACCUUCGAGGGUAUUCCGAGGUGGGCGGGCCACCGUGAAAGAGAGUGUGCCGGGGCGCGCGUCACCGUACCGAAAACCGCAUCAGGAACCCAAGGUUAGCAGCCUCUGGCAUGACAGGUGAAAGUAAGAUUAGGGAAUUCGGCAAAAUGGACUUUUAACUUCGGGAGAAGGGUUGCCUCUACUUCUUUCCAGCGGGACUGGGCUGUGUGGCGUGGAAGGGUUUCGCGACUCGUUCCACGCGCGUGAGCCCUGGCUCGGCUGGGUCUUGAGGAGUGGAGGUCUUGGUAGUCGGGGCGGUCCGACUGUUUAAUAAAGACCCAGCAAUGUGAAUGCGUGUGGCUGAGACGCAUUGCGAUUUCUUCCCGGUGCCCUUUCCGUUACGAAGUUUAACCGCUUUCAAGCGGGGGUAAACGGAGGCCCUAUCUUGAGGGUCUUAAGGUAGCAAUUCCUCGUCAUUUAAAUGGUGACCCGCAUGAAUGGAGUAACGAGACCGCCACUGUCCCAAUCUACCACCUGGUGAAAACACAGCCAAGGGAACGGGCUUGGAUAGGAUGGCGGGGAGAGAAGACCCCGUUGAGCUCUGCAUUAGCCAGGCCUUCCAGAGCUGUCGCUGCGGCGGAGGUAGUGGGGAGAGAAAUCAAACGUGAGAUACCCACACGCGGAGGGCAGCUCUGGUUACCGCUGACCUGGUUAGACAGGAGUUGCGGGACAGGGUCUGGUGAGAUGCUUGGCUGGGGCGGCACGCCUACGAGACUACAGCGUAGGCGCCCAAAGGUCGGCUCAGUGAGGAUGGAAACCUCGCGUAGAGUGUAAGGGCAAAAGCCGGCCUGAGCUCGGUGCUAAUCGCGCAUCGGGCGCGCUAACGCGUGGCCUAACGAUCCUCUGGAAGUUGGAAAGCGACGCCAGAGGUGUCGGAAAAGUUACCGCGGGGAUAACUGGCUUGUGGCAGCUGAGAGCCCAUAUCGACGCUGCUUUUUGAUUCUUCGAUGUUGGCUCUUCGCACCCUGCCGUCGCAGGAGACGGCAAGGGUAAGAUUGUUCACCUAUUAAUGCGGAUCGUGAGCUGAGUUUAGUCCGUCGCGAGACAGGACUGUUUCACCCUACCAUCCUGGGACCAGACGGUCGGAUCGCACUAGUACGCAAGGAGCGUGUGGUCGGUGCCUCUAGUGUUUCCCUGUGUUGAGUAACACGGGGAGUAGCCACGCACCGGGGAGUCCAGCUGACGGCAUAUGAAGCUGUAAACCCCGCCGGAAGGUCGCGUUGUUUGAAAAUGUUUACUAUUGUAUAUUGU